rnacentral:rRNA from 13 species
AACGUUAAUCGGGGCAGGGUGAGUCGACCCCUAAGGCGAGGGCGAAAGCCGUAGUCGAUGGGAAACAGGUUAAUAUUCCUGUACCACCACGUGAUGCGAUGGAGGGACGGAGUAGGCUAGGUGAUCAGGGCGUUGGUUGUCCCUGUUCAAGGAUGUAGGCAGAGAGCUUAGGAAAAUCCGGGCUCUUAAUGCUGAGAUCUGAUGUCGAGUUUCUACGGAAACGAAGUCAUUGAUGCCAUGCUUCCAAGAAAAGCUUCUAAGCUUCAGUCACGUGGGAUCGUACCCGAAACCGACACAGGUGGUCAGGUCGAGAAGACCAAAGCGCUUGAGAGAACUUGGGUGAAGGAACUAGGCAAAAUGGUACCGUAACUUCGGGAGAAGGUACGCUCUCUUUGGUGAUGGGACUUGCUCCCUAAGCUGAGGCGAGUCGAAGUGACCAGGUGGCUGCAACUGUUUAUUAAAAACAUAGCACUCUGCAAACUCGUGAGAGGAAGUAUAGGGUGUGACGCCUGCCCGGUGCCGGAAGGUUAAUUGAUGGGGUUAGCGUAUGCGAAGCUCUUGAUCGAAGCCCCGGUAAACGGCGGCCGUAACAAUAACGGUCCUAAGGUAGCGA